GCCGCGCGAACCAAGGGAGCGUGGAACAAGGCAGCGGCUGCCCACACCCGUCCCCACGCCGCACAAAGGACACGCUGGCAAACUUUGCUCGGUCCUGACCGCGUCUGGGCAAGGAACCGCACGCUGGCUCUGCUGCCGGAGGGGACGAAGGCUUUCCUGACCUUUCAGCAUCCCUGGCAAGCCUCCUGAGGCUGCUGCCCCUUCUGCCCUUCUGGACUCAAAACGUACAGCCUAUCUUCCUGGGAAUGGAAGAGACAUGAUAUUGUGCCCUACAGGGUCGAGUUUUAUGGAGGCCUGAAGACUCCCUUCCCUUCAUAGAGAAUGAGAAGGAAUGCUGAGGACUGCCAGCAAAUACCAGAAGAUAGAAGAAGCGAUGAAAGAUUCCCCUCAAGAGGCUUGAGAGAGAACCCCGCUCUGAACAUGUUACCUUGACACCAUGGUUUCAGACCUACAGCCUCCGAAACUUUUCAUCACUGAAUAUCCACUGGGAAUUCUUCGUGGACAUGAGCAGAGAUGCUAGCUUUGAUGUGUCACACAGGCUUGGACCAAGGGCAUCUGUCUGUGACCAGUAGGGACAGAUAUGUGUGUCCUUCUGUGAUACCAUCCUGCCUUGUGGACAGCUGACUAUGGACUGAAACUUCUACAAAAUG